rnacentral:rRNA from 1 species
UACGUAGGGUGCGAGCGUUGUCCGGAAUUACUGGCCGUAAAGAGCUCGUAGGUGGUUUGUCGCGUUGUUCGUGAAAACUCACAGCUUAACUGUGGGCGUGCGGGCGAUACGGGCAGACUGGAGUACUGCAGGGGAGACUGGAAUUCCUGGUGUAGCGGUGAAAUGCGCAGAUAUCAGGAGGAACACCGGUGGCGAAGGCGGGUCUCUGGGCCGAUACUGACGCUGAGGAGCGAAAGCGUGGGGAGCGAACAGG